UCCGAAGGGGGCAAGCGUUGUUCGGAUUUACUGGGCGUAAAGGGCGCGUAGGCGGAUCUGCAAGUCAGAGGUGAAAGCCCUGGGCUCAACCCGGGAAUGGCCUUUGAGACUGCAAGUCUUGAGUGCGAGAGAGGGUGGCGGAAUACCCAGUGUAGAGGUGAAAUUCGUAGAUAUUGGGUAGAACACCGGUGGCGAAGGCGGCCCCCUGGCUCGCAACUGACGCUGAGGCGCGAAAGCGUGGGGAGAAAACAGG
rnacentral:rRNA from 1 species